ACUCAGAUUUAUAUCAGUAGAGAAUUUGGUCCAUGGAAUUGGGGGAGUCAUAGAGAGUAACUCAGAAAGAGAUCUCUUGGAGUCUACCCAAAUAACAGAAAGCCAUGUGAAUGACAAACCAUAGAAAGCAGCCCUGAUGUGUCAUGGCCAGGAGCACUGUUUUCUGGAACACUGUUGAAGUAGUGAACUGACAAAUGCACAUUAUUAGCUGCCUGCCUGCAUGGAAACAAAGACAACUGAGUAUAAAACUGUUUUGCUCUACUUUUCUCCUCCCAAAAGGGUGGGUAUUUUUGUUUGUUUGGUUUUUUUUGUCCUGCAGCAAACCAUUUUUGUUCUAGAACAGAAGCUAUUAUUAGGCUUCUUCGAGGUAAAACCUAUAUGGCAUUGUAACAACCAUAUGUUAUUGGGGCACAUGGGUAGGAAUUUGAAAGGCGCAGCUCACUGCAAGAGCAACAUGCAGUGCUAGACUGUCAAUCAAGGUGUUUACAUGUUGCUAAUUAAUACUGAUGGAUCUGGUUUUAGUAGAUUUAUAGAGAAAGGUCUUUUUUUUUUUUUUUUGCAUUAAAUCUCUAAAAAUAUAUCAAGGAUUAGGUAGCUAAGUUGUUUUCCUUAUACCUCUUUAGUUGUCAGGUUUAACAUGGAUUUAAAGGGGCAUGCUUAACUGAUGUUUCAUUCAUCUAAAUUCCUUUAGCUGACAUAACAUUAGAGGAUGAGUGUGUGUGCUUAUAGCAGGCCCCAGGCAGCUGUUCAUUGUUAAGAAUCGUGUUAAGCAUUGUGUUAAUAUAACACUUAAUCCUGGGGAAAAAAAAAAAAAAAAAAAAGCUGGUUUGGCAAUCUUUCAUGUGUUUUAAGAAUAAAAUGUUCAGUUCAUUAAAAUUAUCCCAUACAAAUAAUGACUGUGGGUUAGGAACUAUAGUUCAGAAAAAUCUCAGGCAUCUUCAGUGAACUUCGUAAGUGCUCAAGUCCCAGAAGAUGAUUCUGGAAAUCCUUCUUCAUCUUUGAGGCACCGAAAGGCCAGACCUCUUAACUCUGCAACUCCAUCUGCUCAACUACUAUGGCUGUCCUCAUCCUAAGCUGCCCGACUUGUCAGAAAUCAGAGCAGAUCAACAAUUUUGUAACUCUGUAAGCUUAUCAGUAUUCAAGAAAUGAGCUUACUUAGAAAACUGUUAGCAAUGUAAUGUACUAAAAAUGCUUUUUCCAGUUUAUACCGGCUACCAAUUCAUACCUAAUAUUGUUAUUAGUAAAUCCAGUUCAUCAAGU
rnacentral:lncRNA from 7 species